rnacentral:rRNA from 1 species
UUAAGCGACUAAGCGUACACGGUGGAUGCCCUGGCAGUCAGAGGCGAUGAAGGACGUGCUAAUCUGCGAAAAGCGUCGGUAAGGUGAUAUGAACCGUUAUAGCCGGCGAUGUCCGAAUGGGGAAACCCAGUGCAAUUCGUUGCACUAUCGUUAACUGAAUACAUAGGUUAACGAGGCGAACCGGGGGAACUGAAACAUCUAAGUACCCCGAGGAAAAGAAAUCAACCGAGAUUCCCCCAGUAGCGGCGAGCGAACGGGGAGCAGCCCAGAGUCUGAAUCAGCUUGUGUGUUAGUGGAACGGUCUGGAAAGUCCGACGGUACAGGGUGAUAGUCCCGUACACCAAAAUGCACAGGCUGUGAACUCGAAGAGUAGGGCGGGACACGUGGUAUCCUGUCUGAAUAUGGGGGGACCAUCCUCCAAGGCUAAAUACUCCUGACUGACCGAUAGUGAACCAGUACCGUGAGGGAAAGGCGAAAAGAACCCCGGCGAGGGAGUGAAAAGAACCUGAAACCGUGUACGUACAAGCAGUGGGAGCACCUUCGGGUGUGACUGCGUACCUUUGUAUAAUGGGUCAGCGACUUAUAUUCUGUAGCAAGGUUAACCGUAUAGGGGAGCCGCAGGGAAACCGAGUCUUAACUGGGCGUUAAGUUGCAGGGUAUAGACCCGAAACCCGGUGAUCUAGCCAUGGGCAGGUUGAAGGUUGGGUAACACUAACUGGAGGACCGAACCGACUAAUGUUGAAAAAUUAGCGGAUGACUUGUGGCUGGGGGUGAAAGGCCAAUCAAACCGGGAGAUAGCUGGUUCUCCCCGAAAGCUAUUUAGGUAGCGCCUCGUGAACUCAUCUUCGGGGGGUAGAGCACUGUUUCGGCUAGGGGGUCAUCCCGACUUACCAACCCGAUGCAAACUACGAAUACCGAAGAAUGUUAUCACGGGAGACACACGGCGGGUGCUAACGUCCGUCGUGAAGAGGGAAACAACCCAGACCGCCAGCUAAGGUCCCAAAGUCAUGGUUAAGUGGGAAACGAUGUGGGAAGGCACAGACAGCCAGGAUGUUGGCUUAGAAGCAGCCAUCAUUUAAAGAAAGCGUAAUAGCUCACUGGUCGAGUCGGCCUGCGCGGAAGAUGUAACGGGGCUAAACCAUGCACCGAAGCUGCGGCAGCGACACUAUGUGUUGUUGGGUAGGGGAGCGUUCUGUAAGCCUGCGAAGGUGACCUGUGAGGGUUGCUGGAGGUAUCAGAAGUGCGAAUGCUGACAUAAGUAACGAUAAAGCGGGUGAAAAGCCCGCUCGCCGGAAGACCAAGGGUUCCUGUCCAACGUUAAUCGGGGCAGGGUGAGUCGACCCCUAAGGCGAGGCCGAAAGGCGUAGUCGAUGGGAAACAGGUUAAUAUUCCUGUACUUGGUGUUACUGCGAAGGGGGGGGACGGAGAAGGCUAUGUUAGCCGGGCGACGGUUGUCCCGGUUUAAGCAUGUAGGCUGAUUGUCCAGGCAAAUCCGGAUAAUCAAGGCUGAGGUGUGAUGACGAGGCACUACGGUGCUGAAGUAACAAAUGCCCUGCUUCCAGGAAAAGCCUCUAAGCAUCAGGUAACAUCAAAUCGUACCCCAAACCGACACAGGUGGUCAGGUAGAGAAUACCAAGGCGCUUGAGAGAACUCGGGUGAAGGAACUAGGCAAAAUGGUGCCGUAACUUCGGGAGAAGGCACGCUGGUGUGUAGGUGAAGUCCCUGCGGAUGGAGCUGAGACCAGUCGAAGAUACCAGCUGGCUGCAACUGUUUAUUAAAAACACAGCACUGUGCAAACACGAAAGUGGACGUAUACGGUGUGACGCCUGCCCGGUGCCGGAAGGUUAAUUGAUGGGGUUAUCCGUAAGGAGAAGCUCUUGAUCGAAGCCCGGUAAACGGCGGCCGUAACUAUAACGGUCCUAAGGUAGCGAAAUUCCUUGUCGGGUAAGUUCCGACCUGCACGAAUGGCGUAAUGAUGGCGAGGCUGUCUCCACCCGAGACUCAGUGAAAUUGAACUCGCUGUGAAGAUGCAGUGUACCCGCGGCAAGACGGAAAGACCCCGUGAACCUUUACUAUAGCUUGACACUGAACAUUGAGCCUUGAUGUGUAGGAUAGGUGGGAGGCUUUGAAGCGUGGACGCCAGUCUGCGUGGAGCCAACCUUGAAAUACCACCCUUUAAUGUUUGAUGUUCUAACGUUGGCCCCUGACCGGGGUUGCGGACAGUGUCUGGUGGGUAGUUUGACUGGGGCGGUCUCCUCCCAAAGCGUAACGGAGGAGCACGAAGGUUAGCUAAUCCUGGUCGGACAUCAGGAGGUUAGUGCAAUGGCAUAAGCUAGCUUGACUGCGAGCGUGACGGCGCGAGCAGGUGCGAAAGCAGGUCAUAGUGAUCCGGUGGUUCUGAAUGGAAGGGCCAUCGCUCAACGGAUAAAAGGUACUCCGGGGAUAACAGGCUGAUACCGCCCAAGAGUUCAUAUCGACGGCGGUGUUUGGCACCUCGAUGUCGGCUCAUCACAUCCUGGGGCUGAAGUAGGUCCCAAGGGUAUGGCUGUUCGCCAUUUAAAGUGGUACGCGAGCUGGGUUUAGAACGUCGUGAGACAGUUCGGUCCCUAUCUGCCGUGGGCGCUGGAGAAUUGAGGGGGGCUGCUCCUAGUACGAGAGGACCGGAGUGGACGCAUCACUGGUGUUCGGGUUGUCAUGCCAAUGGCACUGCCCGGUAGCUAAAUGCGGAAGAGAUAAGUGCUGAAAGCAUCUAAGCACGAAACUUGCCCCGAGAUGAGUUCUCCCUGAGACUUUAAGUCUCCUGAAGGAACGUUGAAGACGACGACGUUGAUAGGCCGGGUGUGUAAGCGCAGCGAUGCGUUGAGCUAACCGGUACUAAUGAACCGUGAGGCUUAACCU